ACCUGAGUGGCUCAGUUGGUUAAGCAUCUGACUUCAGCUCAGGUCAUGAUCUCACAGUUCAUGGGUUUGAGCCCCAUGUCGGGCU
rnacentral:tRNA from 1 species